GAAUGGUACUGUGGUGGGGAUGAUGUUGUUAGGGAGACUGCUGCCCGUGGCCGAUACCAGUCUGUUCGCGUCCACGUUCAGUCGGUGCGUGCUAGCGGCUCGUGUCGCGUGUUUUCAGUUCAUUUCUUUCUUCGUCGUCAUCCUCGACACACGAUUCGCCGUUUCGUUCAUCUUUACGCGAGUUUCGUCUACAAUUCACUCUGUACAAUCUUCGAAUUCCCCGUUGAAAUAUUACGGUGUGACGUCGAAAAGUGUCAGAGAAGACUCUGUGGUUCCGGACAAUCGAUAUCGAUCUUUGGAACACCGAUCGCGAAUCGAGAGGCCGGGAUGAGAGCAGAAGAACGAGCGACGAGGUGACCUCGACGACCAAAAAUCUACCCUUAUCGUCCAAUCAACCGACAAAUCCACGAAACUUCAC